AUGUAUAAAAGGCUCUGGGAUUUUAUGUCUAUGUUCUGCAAUAUUGUGUAGCAAUAAAACAGCUGGCGGUGACAAUCCAGCAAAGUGGAA